AGCAUUACGUCACGUAAUUAGCAUGUGACACAAAUGCUACAACACAGCCGAAGACAUACCUGCUGCUCGGUCUGUGGCUUUUCAUCAGACUCGGGGAACACUGUGUUGUUUUUUGUAGCCGUUUCUUUCAUUGCCAGGUUUCAAAAAUGGCAAUUUAGAUCUUUGUGAACGAGAUGCAUGACUCAUCGAGCGAUGCCACUGACCAACCAAUCGAUAGCAUGCGGUCUGAUGCCGUCACAUUUUAGUACCUGCUCGGAUUGCUUGGCGCCUCAGCUGUGCAGGUAUUAUUUUAGUACCUUGUACCAGGCACUAUGAACCUGAUGGAAAACCGUGAAACCUGCGAAGGACUGUGGCGAGUCAAUCCGAGUAGAUACUAAUGGAAAGGAACUUAUGUGUGCACGUCUAUUUACUCUGGAAGAGGCUGCAAAUUUUGGGAAAGGAGUCCGAGUUGGGAAUACGUGUUGAUGAGUGAAACUCACUUUCAUCUGAUGACAACCAUACUGAGUCUGCAGCGGUUUCCAGCAGAGCGGCACAGACUCUCCCUCCUCCCUCUCCGCUUGGCUGAACUCUAGCUGAACCUUUACUUGAACCCUGGAUGAACUUCGCCAAACUGACCCAUUAAUCUACUUUAGGUGUGAAGUGGGCUAUACGGUGGCCUGCGAGGGACACCUCGAACUGGUCCAGAGUCAGCGGCGGCAACAGAAAAGUCUGCAAAUCAUCGAACACGUGCACGACAUUAGCAGCAUCUCUGUGGCCACAAACUUCUGGUUGAGUCUCAUCUGACUGAAGGAUGCUUCCAGUCUGCAGGACCUUUCUCCAGGUCAUCCUCAGCGUACUUCUGGUGUCUCUCUGAGUUUUUCACCAAAGUCCUGGUGACUGAGACCUCA